rnacentral:rRNA from 1 species
AGUGAACGCUGGCGGUAUGCCUAACACAUGCAAGUCGAACGGCAGCACAGUAAGAGCUUGCUCUUACGGGUGUCGAGUGGCGGACGGGGGAGGAGUACAUCGGGAUCUACUUUUUCGUGGGGGAUAACGAAGGGAAACUUACGCUAAUACCGCAUACGACCUACUGGUGAAAGCAGGGGAUCUUCGGACCUUGCGCGAUUGAAUGAGCCGAUGUCGGAUUAGCUAGUUGGCGGGGUAAAGGCCCACUAAGGCGACGAUCCGUAGCUGGUCUGAGAGGAUGAUCAGCCACACUGGAACUGAGACACGGUCCAGACUCCUACGGGAGGCAGCAGUGGGGAAUAUUGGACAAUGGGCGCAAGCCUGAUCCAGCCAUACCGAGUGGGUGAAGAAGGCCUUCGGGUUGUAGAGCCCUUUUGUUGGGAAAGAAAAGCAGCAGGUUAAUACCCCGCUGUUCUGACGGUACCCAAAGAAUAAGCACCGGCUAACUUCGUG